rnacentral:lncRNA from 1 species
CCUCCAGGCCAUCCUAUCAAAAACCUGCUCAGGGAUUUAGCUCAGUGGUUCUGCAGCCUGCCUCACAAGCACAAGGUCCCAAGUUCAGAUCCCCAGUACCAAAAAAACACCAACAACAAAGAAAUCUGCUCAAGACAGGGUCUUGUUUUGUAGUUCAGCCUGGCCUUGAACUCACUAUGCAGCCCAGGUGGCCUUGAACUCAUGGCGAUCCCCUGCAUCAGCCUCAGGAGUGCUGGGAUUCUAGACUCUACCCAAUUUCUACUCCCCCCUCCCCUUUUUGCAGUUCUGGGGAUCGAACCCAGGGCUUCAUGAAUGGCAGGUGAGCAUUCUAGUACUAUCCACCCUUUUUGAAUUGCACUUUGAUUUUCUUUUUGGUACCAGGGUUCGAACUCAGGACGUUGCGUUUUCG